GGAGAGAUACCCAAGAGGCCGAAGGGGACGGUUUGCUAAACCGUUAGGGGGCCCUAUGGCCCCGCGAGGGUUCGAAUCCCUCUCUCUCCG
rnacentral:tRNA from 1 species